UUCAAUUCAAUUAAAUUUUAUUUGUAUAAUGGUUUUAACAAUGGACAUUGUCUCAAAGCAGCUUUACAGAAACAUAUAAACACAGGAUACAGAUUUUAAGUGUGUGAAUUUAUCCCUAUUGUGCAAGCCGUUGCGACGGUGGUGAGGGAAAAACUCCCUAAGAUGAUAUGAAGAAGAAGCCUUGAGAGGAAGCAGACUCAGUAGGGAACCCGUCCUCAUCUGGGUAACAACGGAUAGUGUGAAAGUAAAAGAAAGUUCAUUAUGGUUUUUAGAUGAAGUCUGUUUGUUGAACUAGUCCACUGUUCACUAAAGGAGACCUGAGUGCAAACUGCAUGUGGUAAUUGCAGUCCCAAGGCGCAGUGGUGGUUCAGUGGUUAAGGCGCUGGGUUACUGAUCAGCACAGCCAUGGUUGGGCACUUAACCCUCUCUGCUCCAGGGGCACCGUAUCACGGCUGACCCCGCACUCUGACUCGGAAAAGUAUGCGGAAAAAGAAUUUCACUGUGCUGUAAUGUAUAUCUGACAAAUAAAGAUUUCUUCUUCUUCUCUUUCUAAUGCUGCUCUUGAUAAAUGGGGGCGAAAAAAGUGUUGGCCCUCAGUUUCUAACUAAAAUAGUUCAGCAUAAUGAUUCAUGGACUAUUACAUGUAAGCAUAUCAUAUCAUACUGGCUAUCAGAAGGGAAAAACAUAUGGUACCUAUUAAUGAAAUCAUGUUGGUCAGCUUCUGAAGGGGCAGGAGGGGAAAUCUGUAUGUAACAUUUACAAAACAAAGUAGUUAAAGUUUAAGGCAGAAUAUUUUUCUGAGGAUAUUCUAAGGUUAAGAGAAAUGGGGUGGUGUAAAUGAUUUAGGCAGACUGGGAGUAUGUGUGUGUGUGUGUGUGUGUGUGUGUGUUGAAAGUGAUGAAAAGAUACAUAUUAAAGCCUAUCAAACAAUCUUUCAAACCACAAACUACUUACAAACAAGUAAUUAAACUGGAAACAAGCUUCCAGUUUAAUGCUUGCACAACUUUAACACUUCAAAAUGAUCUGUCCCGCAGAAGUGCUAAUUAGUCGAUGACAAAGUAACUAUGCUUUAUAUGAAAUAAAACACAGCGUCGAUUUCCAGUCAUGAAAGCAUGACAGCACUAGUGAUAAAGGGAUUUCUGAGUGUUUGUCAGCCAUUUAGUUCAAAUGAAUAUGCAGUACAAAAUAAAAUUAAUUAUGAACCAUUCCAAACUUGAGCAUCGAGUGUGCAAACUGUCACAAAUGAGAAUAUAUGUGGAAACUCCUUGAGGCAACUCCCAUUAUUCCAUCGGAAUCCUGCACUCCGAGUCUGGAGUGCAGCUGUGGAUAGAGCCUUUGGUACUAAUGGCUGGGAAAGUGAGAGGAGCUGGUCAGGCAGAGCCAGCUGGCUGCUGAGGUGCGAGAAGACACACACACACACACACACACACGUACACACAUGUAUGCACACACGCACACACACACACAUGUAUACACACACCACAUGGACUCUAGAAAAUAACAGGAUGCGAAGCAUUGGUAAAAUGACAAAAACAGCAGAACUCAUCAGCGUGCCUAAAACUUUGGCAGGCCUCACACACUCAGUGCAACAGAAGAUCGGCGUAACUGCACACCAGCGUAUAGACCGAUGCAACUGACAAAACUGAAAGUCAUUCCAGGACACCUGGACAUGUUUAGGCCUGGUGUCACAACAUGGCCUCAUAAUAGACAUAACAUUGCUGUAUGAAUCAGUAGCUUUUAGAGAUCUACUCAGACUGUGAAAAACCCUGAACUCGUCAACACAGCUCAUGUGAAACGCUCCUAGACAGGGGGUAGUCUCACGAUACAGAUUUCUAUCUGCUGCUAGCGAGUUGCAUACCGUGUGGCCGAGAAGCUUUUAUGGAGCAUGUCAUCAAUGCCUGCUUUUUGUUUUCCAGUCCUGCCACUGUAUUUUCUGUUCAAACCAGAAAAUCAGUGUAAGCUGUACAUUCACAGAAAUGAAUGCCGAAUUCAUUUUGGAUUGUAUAGCCUUUUUUUUAGGGGGAGACGACACCUCACUGAUACAGCACAUAGACAAAAGGAGGUUUCUGAGCUUGACUUCAUUCAUCCACUCAGUAACGUAACUCAAAGCUCCACUUCUAAACACACACAUACACACACACACACACAC
ensembl:lncRNA